rnacentral:rRNA from 1 species
AGAAUCAACGCUGGCGGCGUGCCUAACACAUGCAAGUCGAACGAGAAAGUGGAGCAAUCCAUGAGUACAGUGGCGCACGGGUGAGUAACACGUGACUAACCUACCCUUGAGUGGGGAAUAACCUGGAGAAAUCUAGGCUAAUACCGCAUAACACCUACGGGUCAAAGGAGCAAUUCGCUUAAGGAGGGGGUCGCGGCAGAUUAGCUAGUUGGCGGGGUAAUGGCCCACCAAGGCAGUGAUCUGUAUCCGGCCUGAGAGGGCGCACGGACACACUGGAACUGAAACACGGUCCAGACUCCUACGGGAGGCAGCAGUGGGAAUUUUGCGCAAUGGGGGAAACCCUGACGCAGCAACGCCGCGUGGAGGAUGAAGUCCCUUGGGACGUAAACUCCUUUCGACCGGGAAGAUAAUGACGGUACCGGAAGAAGAAGCCCCGGCUAACUUCGCGCCAGCAGCCGC